GAGUUUGAUCCUGGCUCAGGAUGAACGCUAGCUACAGGCUUAACACAUGCAAGUCGAGGGGUAGCAUGAAAGUUUGCUUGCAAACUUUUGAUGGCGACCGGCGCACGGGUGAGUAACACGUAUCCAACCUGCCUCAUACUCGGGGAUAGCCUUUCGAAAGAAAGAUUAAUACCCGAUGUCAUAGUCCUACCGCAUGAUGGGAUUAUUAAAGAAUUUCGGUAUGGGAUGGGGAUGCGUUCCAUUAGUUAGUUGGCGGGGUAACGGCCCACCAAGACAACGAUGGAUAGGGGUUCUGAGAGGAAGGUCCCCCACAUUGGAACUGAGACACGGUCCAAACUCCUACGGGAGGCAGCAGUGAGGAAUAUUGGUCAAUGGACGAGAGUCUGAACCAGCCAAGUAGCGUGAAGGAUGACUGCCCUAUGGGUUGUAAACUUCUUUUAUAUGGGAAUAAAAUGUUCCACGUGUGGGAUUUUGUAUGUACCAUAUGAAUAAGGAUCGGCUAACUCCGUGCCAGCAGCCGCGGUAAUACGGAGGAUCCGAGCGUUAUCCGGAUUUAUUGGGUUUAAAGGGAGCGUAGGUGGAUUGUUAAGUCAGUUGUGAAAGUUUGCGGCUCAACCGUAAAAUUGCAGUUGAAACUGGCAGUCUUGAGUACAGUAGAGGUGGGCGGAAUUCGUGGUGUAGCGGUGAAAUGCUUAGAUAUCACGAAGAACUCCGAUUGCGAAGGCAGCUCACUGGACUGCAACUGACACUGAGGCUCGAAAGUGUGGGUAUCAAACAGGAUUAGAUACCCUGGUAGUCCACACAGUAAACGAUGAAUACUCGCUGUUUGCGAUAUACUGCAAGCGGCCAAGCGAAAGCAUUAAGUAUUCCACCUGGGGAGUACGCCGGCAACGGUGAAACUCAAAGGAAUUGACGG
rnacentral:rRNA from 1 species